UGGAUUAGUGGCGAACGGGUGAGUAACACGUGAGUAACCUGCCCUUAACUCUGGGAUAAGCCUGGGAAACUGGGUCUAAUACCGGAUAUGACUCCUCAUCGCAUGGUGGGGGGUGGAAAGCUUUUUGUGGUUUUGGAUGGACUCGCGGCCUAUCAGCUUGUUGGUGAGGUAAUGGCUUACCAAGGCGACGACGGGUAGCCGGCCUGAGAGGGUGACCGGCCACACUGGGACUGAGACACGGCCCAGACUCCUACGGGAGGCAGCAGUGGGGAAUAUUGCACAAUGGGCGCAAGCCUGAUGCAGCGACGCCGCGUGAGGGAUGACGGCCUUCGGGUUGUAAACCUCUUUCAGUAGGGAAGAAGCGAAAGUGACGGUACCUGCAGAAGAAGCGCCGGCUAACUACGUGCCAGCAGCCGCGGUAAUACGUAGGGCGCAAGCGUUAUCCGGAAUUAUUGGGCGUAAAGAGCUCGUAGGCGGUUUGUCGCGUCUGCCGUGAAAGUCCGGGGCUCAACUCCGGAUCUGCGGUGGGUACGGGCAGACUAGAGUGAUGUAGGGGAGACUGGAAUUCCUGGUGUAGCGGUGAAAUGCGCAGAUAUCAGGAGGAACACCGAUGGCGAAGGCAGGUCUCUGGGCAUUAACUGACGCUGAGGAGCGAAAGCAUGGGGAGCGAACAGGAUUAGAUACCCUGGUAGUCCAUGCCGUAAACGUUGGGCACUAGGUGUGGGGGACAUUCCACGU
rnacentral:rRNA from 1 species